GAUGAACGCUAGCGGCAGGCUUAACACAUGCAAGUCGAGGGGCAGCGAGGGUAGCAAUACCUGUCGGCGACCGGCGGAAGGGUGAGUAACGCGUGAGCAACAUACCCGUAUCAGUGGGAUAAUACAGGGAAACUUGUUCUAAUAUCGCAUAAUAUUAUUCAGAGGCAUCUUUGUAUAAUUAAAGUUAUGGCGGAUACGGAAUGGCUCGCGUGACAUUAGCUAGAUGGUAGGGUAAUGGCCUACCAUGGCGAUGAUGUCUAGGGGUUCUGAGAGGGAGGUCCCCCACACUGGAACUGAGACACGGUCCAGACUCCUACGGGAGGCAGCAGUGAGGAAUAUUGGACAAUGGAUGGAAAUCUGAUCCAGCCAUGCCGCGUGCAGGAAGCGGCCCUAUGGGUUGUAAACUGCUUUUGUACGGGAGCAAUAAGGUCUACGAGUAGAUUGAUGAGAGUACUGUACGAAUAAGCAUCGGCUAAC
rnacentral:rRNA from 1 species